rnacentral:lncRNA from 1 species
UGGUUUCUGAAGAAUGCAACAUUUAUCUGCCAGAGGGUGAAAAGGGUGUCGUCCUCACACACCUUAAAGCAAAAGUGCCUCGAGAGUAUCUGCGAGUCAGUGUGAGAACCUGCCCGUCUUCAGGCCGAGACCUUCACCCAGCCUGGCCACGUCUGCAGAGCUCUCAGGCUCCAGCAAGAUCACCCAUGCAUUGAAUGUGGUUCUUUGGAGAAGU